GUGUCAGAAUGUUAUAUAAGAACUGAAGGAGACAGACAGAGUCCAAAGUGAGCUGCAUUAUCACUGGUAGUAACCACAGUUCAACCAUGGAAUAUUGCAUCAGAGUAUUCAUACUAGUUGCUUAUUUCAGUGUGUGCUCUGCAAAGGGGGACUUCAUUACUCAACCUGAAGAUGAGACGGGUCUGGAGGGCAGCAUGGUGACACUCAGCUGCCAGUAUGAGACCACUGCAUUAGCAUCUCAACAGUAUCUUUUCUGGUACCAGCAGAAACCAAACGGAUUCCCAAAAUAUAUUCUACAGAAACCAGCUUUAGGACAAGACAAUGGCCCAGAUUUUAAGAGGAGAUUCAAUGCUACACUCAACACAGACACAAAAGCUGUUAAUCUGACGAUCCAGGAUCUGCAAGUCUCUGACUCUGCUGUGUACUACUGUGCUCUGCAGCCCACAAAUGAUCCACUUAAGGUAUUCCUGAGUAGCCCCACCUCAGCAGCUCAGCUGAUGCUUGAUUUGAUGCAUCAGCCACUUCUGCAGGAGGAGGAGCUGACAGGAUGUGUUCUGAAAAACUUUCCCACCCAGAUGAGAAUGUAA